UGGUUUAAUUCGAUGCAAAGCGAAGAACCUUACCAGGGCUUGACAUGCCGCGAAUCCUCUUGAAAGAGAGGGGUGCCCUCGGGAACACGGACACAGGUGGUGCAUGGCUGUCGUCAGCUCGUGUCGUAAGGUGUUGGGUUAAGUCUCGCAACGAGCGCAACCCUCGUGUUUAGUUGCCACUAUGAGUUUGGAACCCUGAACAGACCGCCGGUGUUAAAGAUGGCACUAGAAGGAUGUGUAUCGAUUAUCGAGCCCUGAAUGAGGUCACCA
rnacentral:ncRNA from 1 species